UCGUAGCUCAGUCGGUACAGCAUGAGAUUCUUUAUCUCAGGGCUGUGGGUUCAAGCCCUGCAUAGCACAA